AGAGUUUGAUCCUGGCUCAGGAUGAACGCUGGCGGCGUGCUUAACACAUGCAAGUCGAACGAAGCUGUUAAAAGGAAGUCUUCGGAUGGAAUUUUAACAGACUUAGUGGCGGACGGGUGAGUAACGCGUGGAUAACCUGCCUUAUACAGGGGGAUAACGGAGAGAAAUUUCCGCUAACACCGCAUAAGACCACAGCACCGCAUGGUGCAGGGGUAAAAUAUUAAUAGGUAUAAGAUGGAUCCGCGUCCGAUUAGCUUGUUGGUGAGGUAGAGGCUCACCAAGGCGACGAUCGGUAGCCGGCCUGAGAGGGUGAACGGCCACAUUGGGACUGAGACACGGCCCAAACUCCUACGGGAGGCAGCAGUGGGGAAUAUUGGACAAUGGGGGAAACCCUGAUCCAGCGACGCCGCGUGAGUGAAGAAGUAUUUCGGUAUGUAAAGCUCUAUCAGCAGGGAAGAAAAUGACGGUACCUGACUAAGAAGCCCCGGCUAACUACGUGCCAGCAGCCGCGGU
rnacentral:rRNA from 1 species